UGGCGGUGUUGGCGGUGUUGGCGGUGUUGGCGGUGUUGGCGAUUUUCUCAUCCAGUGAAGGCAUCGCCCAGCCUGGAAACCUUUAUUUUGCCAUGUGGCUGAUGCUGCAGCAGGAUGAGCCGGAAGACUUUGUUAUAGCGACUCGAGAGGUCCAUAGUGUCCGAGAGUUAGUGGAAAAGGCAUUCAAGCAUGUCAGAAAAAACAUUGUGUGGGAAGGUAAAAACGAGAAUGAAGUUGGCCAUUGCAAUGAGACAGGAGUGAUUUGAUGUGAGGGUUGAUCUCAAAUACUACAGGCCCACUGAUGUGCUCCAGACAGCAUGCAACACCCACUUCCUGUGACACUCAAUAUUACCCUGUCAGAUGCUCUUUGGGGUGGUCUCAUACACAGCUGUGAGUUUUACAAAGCAAUUGUGUUUACAGGCAAGUUACAA